GCGCCCGUAGCUCAGUAGGAUAGAGCAUCGGUUUCCUAAACCGGAGGUCGGAGGUUCGAGUCCUCCCGGGCGUA
rnacentral:tRNA from 2 species